rnacentral:rRNA from 1 species
UUGACCUCAAAUCGGGUGAGACUACCCGCUGAC